GUAGGUGAACCUGCGGAAGGAUCAUUACAGAAUGAUUUAUUCAUUUUUGUCCUUGCUCACUGUAACAUUCUUUCCAACAAUUUUGUUGGAACCAUUUAUAAACCUUUUAUUAUUCUUUACAGUAUCUAAAAGUAAAUAAAAACAACUUUUAGCAAUGGAUCUCUUGGCUCUC
rnacentral:misc_RNA from 1 species